rnacentral:rRNA from 1 species
CCUCAAAUCAGGCAGGACUACCCGCUGAACUUAAGCAUAUCAAUAAGCGGAGGAAAAGAAACUAACAAGGAUUCCCCUAGUAACUGCGAGUGAAGCGGGAAGAGCUCAAAUUUAAAAUCUGGCGGCCCCCUGGCUGUCCGAGUUGUAAGCUAGAGAAGCGCAGUCCGCGCUGGGGCCAUGUACAAGUCUCCUGGAACGGAGCGUCAUAGAGGGUGAGAAUCCCGUCUCUGACAUGGACCUCCCAGGGCAUAGCGAUUGCGUUCUCAAAGAGUCGAGUUGUUUGGGAAUGCAGCUCCAAAUGGGUGGUAAACUCCAUCUAAAGCUAAACAUAGGCGAGAGACCGAUAGCGAACAAGUACCGUGAGGGAAAGAUGAAAAGAACUUUGGAAAGAGAGUUAAACAGUACGUGAAAUUGUUGAAAGGGAAACGCUUGAAGUCAGUCACGUCGGCUUGGGAUCAGCCUUGCGACUGCGAGGUGCACUCCCUGGUCGACGGGUCAGCACCAGUUUCGACCGCUGGAGAAAGGUCGGGGGGAUGUGGCAUCCUCGGAUGUGUUUAUAGCCCUCGAUUGCAUGCAUCGGUUGGGAUUGAGGAACUCAGCGCGCCGCAAGGCCGGGUUUUCGAACCACGUCCGCGCUCAGGAUG